UACGUAGGGGACAAGCGUUAUCCGGAUUUACUGGGUGUAAAGGGGGCGCAGACGGCGAUGCAAGCCAGGAGUGAAAGCCCGGGGCCCAACCCCGGGACUGCUCUUGGAACUGCGUGGCUGGAGUGCAGGAGGGGCAGGCGGAAUUCCUGGUGUAGCGGUGAAAUGCGUAGAUAUUAGGAGGAACACCAGUGGCGAAGGCGGCCUGCUGGGCUUUAACUGACGCUGAGGCUCGAAAGUGUGGGUAGCAAACAGG
rnacentral:rRNA from 1 species